rnacentral:misc_RNA from 1 species
GACACCAUGGUAUACCCUUCCAUAUGAUCCCUCACCUAUCAAAGCUUUCGAACCAAAGUUAUCAGUGAUAUCCUUUAACUCAUCAACAGCGAUGGAAGGAACAGCAAUGGGCUGGAUAUUCACAGUCUGUGUCUCUCUUUGUGCACUUUCUGUGGCACGCUGACCUCCAUUGUUGCCUGCUGAAUUGUGUGCCAUGAAUGGCCCAUUAUCAGUAGCUCUGUGCAUAUCAUCAUCAUCACAACAACUGAAGCAGCUCAUAGCUCAGUCAACAAAAUAAGAUUCUAACCUUCUUGAAAGUGUGGGGGGUUUUGAUCUGUGAACUGAAA